AUGGUCUCCUCACAGAAGGAACCCUGCCAGCUCUCACCAAUCCUAUGCAAACAGCUUAGAUAUAGACGAUAAAGCAUCUACUGGAUCAAUAGUUUCAACCUUUCCACCCUCCGAGCAUUUUAGAAACCUCAAGUGAGCUGGCCAAACUGAUGGAGAGACGGUGGCUGGCUUGCUGACAUAGUAUGACUGACACCAUAGAGAGUUUGGUGGUCCAAUACGGCUGAUGAUAAAACACCGCGGAAAAGAACACACGACUCUGGACAGGCCCAAAAUAAGGAAGCUGUAAAACCCUGGCCAAACACCACCAUUUGCCAAGAGAAAAGCCAACAUGGGGCCCAUCUGUCCUUCCCAGGGCUCUGCUCAUCCUGCCUUUGUGUGGCUGUCAGCCUCUACCCAGAGUGUCCCACUUCCCUCCUUGGUCACUUGACUGGGUGUUUUUUUCAUUAUCUUACUACAGAAAAACUUUCAUUCUGAAGUAUUUUGAAAAAGAAGUCCAAAAAGACAAGACGCCCUUUCCCUGACCAAACUGCAACCCAUCCUUGUCCUCACAGCCAUAUUGCUAUCAGCACAAGGAGCAAGGGCAGGGCCUAGCAAAAGGCCUUCUACCCAGGAGGUCUCAGCUAAGACCUAAGAAGCAAUCCCUCUUCCUACAGGACCCCGCAACAACUAAAAGGGCAGCCCUGAAGUCACCACACAGCAGUAGACCCCAUUGUCACCUCAUGGAAACUGACGCCCUUCCUGUGUUGCUGGACAUCGUGAAGUCUCAAAUGUUACUCAAAAAAACCACGGUCUUAGCCUUUUGCUCACCCUAGUUCAAUA